GUGAAGAAGUUGGGAGCGCAGAGAUGAAGAGCUUGCCCCAGUGUCACCAGAAAAUAAGUGACAGAGCCAGGAUUGGAGCAGAGAAGCUGCCUACCUCUGCUAAGAAGAUUUACCAGGAAAAACCCAGCUCUGCCUGAGUGACUUCAGAAAAGGAUUUGAGGGAAGGUGCCUCUGGUGGAGUAAGUUGCCGCAUGAUGGAGAAAGCCUGCUGGCAGAGGAGAGGAGAGGCCUGGCGCUUGAAGCUUGCAGCCUGUGGGGACCUGCCUGCUGUGCUCUCAAGGGAACUCAGGUGGGCCAAGGGAAGUGGAGCAUGGCCUGUGCCAUGUGUGUGUCAUCUUUACUGAGCCCAGAGGAAGUGAAAACAUCCCUAAAGUAGGUUAUUAGGUAGCAAGAGGAAUCGUUCUUAGUUU